ACGUUAGCCUAGGUACAACUACUUCAUACCCACCUUGGUGUAACCAGAAAACGGCAUUGAAGGAUCAUGCUGUGGUAUAAACUGCAUGAACACACCAGAGCUUUGGAAACUUACUCAACUGUUGAAGUACUAGAGACCAUUCACUGCAGAAACAAUAUUCAGAGUUUCAGACAAGCAACCAACAUGCAUAUAUCCAAAGUCCUGUCUCCAUGUAAUGCCAUGCACUCUAAUUUUGAGAUGCAUAUUUCCUGUGAAGCCAUGUUGACAAUUGUGGAGAAAUCACCAUGGAAGAUACACCCAUUAACCUGCGAUGCGGAGUGGCUUCGUUUUGUCUUUUCACCAAAGCAGGGCAUGAAAAAUCCCGGUAUGUAUUGGUUUUUGGGUGCUCUGAUAUUGGAGGCCAGAAUAGGGAUGGUGUUGGUGUUGGAGGCAUGCUAGGAGCACAGGAUGGAAGGAAAGCUUCCAGGAUUGGAGACAACUUCAGAUCUCUAAUUCUGCCAAAAAUUGAGGUAUUUAGACCAAGGUUCCUUGAACUCCAUUCUGUGAUGAUUUGGGCUAGCUGUUUCAGCCUGUAAGGCUGUAGAAAAUUGCUGCGAUCUAUCAGGGAAAUGGAAACUUGGACUGUAACUGGUGUUGCAACCGUUGAGCCAUUCGUAUUUGUUAACUUGACAAAUAAUUCCUGCAUUUGCAUUUUUGCAUAAAUAUGCUGCGACUUCAUGUCAAGAUCUUUAAAGGAAAAAAUAUUCAAGGUACAUGUGAAUUUAGCGCACGAGAGGGAUAGAGUGGGGGUGACCUCAUCUGGUGUCUGCUGCAAUAUUAAUGCAAGCUCACUCUUCAUCUCCUCAAGAAAUUCUCUUACUUCACGAAUUGUCAAGUCAAAUGUGAUGCUGAAAAUAGGCUGAAUUGAGUCUGCACGGGAAGCAUUAUGUGGAAGCAACACUGUAAUCCCUCCUGGGAAUCCCAGGAUCUCUAAGCAAAGUGGGUCUCCGAAAGUAGAUGGCGUCAGAGAUAAAUUCAGCUGCUGAAGUGUAAGUCUUAUCAAAGAUGUUCUUAGUGCCUUGAUGGAUUUUAUGCUCAUGGAGGUAUUUCUUGGGUCUGGAAGAACACCAAAUUUCACAUAAGUGGUAUUCGUAUAAUUGUAUGGACGCAUGGAAACUGAAACCUGCAGAAUUUUCAUCCAAUAUUCAGUUACUUGGCAAAUUGUUUGUGGUACUGAAGUGAACUUCAUACCUUACUAUUGGGCACGCCUAUUUGGUUAUAUAUCUCCUUUUCAAGCGUCCCGCCUUGUGAAGCUAUCUGUGACUCUGGCACUAACAAAAUGAAGCCUGCCUCGAUUUCUGCUUGAGAAACGAAUCUUUGGGUGUUAAAAGAAGGAGCUGUAACAUGUAGCCUUUGAAUUAGUUGUUCUUCUACGGAAUGAGUGAAGUCCCUGGACUUACCUGCGAGUAUGUCAGGGUCAUCAGGGACCCCUCCUCCUGAUGCCCGGAGAUGAAGCAGCAUGAAGAAGGCCGAGAGGAAGCCGCCG